CUUCCGAUGUAGACCCACCUUUCACCUGCACUAUGGGUCUGGUUGCGUGCAGGUGUCUUCUU
rnacentral:sRNA from 2 species